rnacentral:lncRNA from 1 species
AGUGUCACCGCCUCCCCGCCGCAGACACUAUCCGACAAAGGAGGGGGAAUCAAAGGCUGGGCGAAGAGGCAGGGCAGGCGCCGGUGACGCUGCUGGGCAAGCGGGCUCUGCAGUAGCAUUUGUGGCGACCGUGGCAGUGGCUGUGACUGGAAGCUUCUGGAAAUGGCGGCGAUGAGGACCCCCACAUAGGGAUGGCCAUAGCAGCCACAAAAGGAAGCAAACAAGAACAAGUCCUGAUGGAGCAAUUUAUGAAGACAGGCAGCAUAGAGGGAGAAGAACCUGUCUGUCAACCCCACACACGCUUUCCCAGGUAAUUGCUCACCUCUGCCCUGUCUGACCUCUGUUUCUAGAGCCCAGCUCAGACUUACUGUAUGUCACCCCUCCACCACUAUUCCCUGGCUUUGCUAAUUUACCUGUUCCUGCCACAGAUUUACCUAAAGAAAGAACUUGUUCAGUUUAUAUCUUUUCAACCCCCUCUGGCUUUGCCCUUCACAUUGUGUCAUCAAUCCUUUAAGUCUGUUCUUUAGAGCCCUAGGGAAUCAUUUUUUAUUGGAGCCAGGAAAGUGACACCACAUAAUAUAAGAUCUUUCAAGAUGUCACAGCAUAUAAUACAAGUUACUAAGUAAUGAACAAUUAUCUACAAAGUCAGAACUUAGUUAAUAUCUUUGGAUUAUAGGUCUUGUUCACUACAAAAACAGAUAAAAAAGCAGUCAUUGUAUACUGUAAGAGCCUGAAACUUGUAGAGUAAGCAGCAAAAUGAUACUUAACUUUAAAAAAAAGACAACAGUAUUAUAUUUUGCAAUUUUUAAAUUUAUUUAUUAUUUUUGAGACAGGGUCCCACUUUGUCACCCAGGCUGGGAUGCAGUGAUGCAAUAAUGGCUCACUGCAGUCUUAACCUCCCAGGCUCAGGUGCUUCUGUCACCUCAGCCUCCCACGUAGCUGGGACUACAGGUGUGCGUCACCAUGCCUGGCUAAUUUUUGUAUUUUUCGUAGAGACAAGACCUCACCAUGUUGCCCUGGCUGGUCUUGAAUUUGUGGGCUCAAACAAUCUGUCCGCCUCAACCUCCCAAAGUGCUGGGAUUACAGGUGAGCCACUGUGCCCGGCCUGUAAUUUUUUAUGUUGCCUAUUGAUAGGCACCACUGCUGCUCUUUAAAUGUCAAUGAAAUUAUUUUGGAGAAACUUUCUUCACCUUUACUAGGUUUCUUCUUACGGUUUAAGCUCAGCUACCUCUUCUUUUCUGCCUAAAACUUUUCUCUUGAUCAAAUAUCAGAAUGGAAUAUGAUUUAAAAGUUUCAUUUUAGACGUCUCCUGAAAGCUGAGCAUUUGUUAUCUUAAAGCCUCUUACCAGUUUGGAUAGAUAUGGAUCUUCCAAAAUUAAUGAGCUCCUUAAUAUCGACACUGUUUAUCAACAUAAAGGAUCAAUUUAGGAAGAUUAUAAAAACUGAAGUUUCCGGAACAAUAAAUGGGAGAAUUAAUCGUAAGUACUUCCUGAGUUCUUCACAGGAUUAUAGAAUUUUAUAUAUGGAAGUAAUUUUAAAAAUAAUCUGGUCUAGAGUUUCCUAAAGUUUGUUCCAUAAAAUUACAAUCCCAUGGCAUUGUAUAGAAAAACGGGAGUCCCAGUGAUCCAGUAUGUCUGGCUGUAAACCUCCCUUCCUCGCCAUUCACACAGUGUACCUUAAAAUACUACAAAGGCUACAAAAAUCCUCCAAUAAAGCCUAUAAUUUUGUUUAAUCUACUAAAAAUGUAACCCCCCCUUUCAUCUGUAAACAUGCCUCAGAACACUCAAGAGGCAGUGAGCUAGCCCUAUCCACUCACCUGACAGCCACAAUUUACACUAGUGUUUUUCACUUACUAAACAAAAAAUGAUUUUCCUGAUAUCUCAUGCUUAAAAUGCCAUCUAAUAAUUACAUCUUCACUAAAAUUUAAAAAGUAUGGUUCGUCAGUCAUUCCAACACUAUACGUAUGUGUACCAUUUUAACUUAUUUGCUUUCUAGAAAACUUGGCCUUUCUGUAAACUUUCAUGGCUUAAAGUACUUUACAUAGACAAAUUACUUUAUAAAAGUUUAGUGCUUUUUACUAUUGCUGAGAUAUAUCCAGCACUGUCCCUACUUUUAGUAUAAAAAACCAAAAGUGAUGUUAUUGUCUAGAGUCAUCUACCAACCGCAUUGGAACUGUAGCCUAGCUCUAAAUAUGAAGAAUUAAAGUUGGAUUUAAAAUGAGUUAUAAACUAAUCCAUACUAAAAAAUUUCUACCUAUUAGUAACCUGAAAACAAGUUUAGAAUUUUUCAGUACUUUAAAUUCACUGAAAAUAAGAACAAUCUCAGCACAAAAAUAUUUAGUAAUGUCAAGAUUAAGAGACUACAGCUGACCCUGAACAACACAGGUUUGAACUGCAUGGGUUCACUUGUACAUGGAUUUUCUUCAGCCUCUGCCACCUCUGAGACAGCAAGGCCAACCCCUCCUCUUCCUCAGCCUAUACAACAUGAAAAUGAUAAGACUUGUACUAUGAUCCACUUAAUGAAGAGUAAAUAUAUUUUCAUUAUGAUUUUAAUAACAUUUUCUUUUCUCUAGAUUAUGGUAAGAAUACAGUCAGUAUAUAAUACAGACAACAUGCAAAAUAUGUGCUGACUAUGUUAUUUGUUAAGGCCUUCAGACAACUGCAGGCUAUGAGUAAAGUUUUGGAGGAGUCAAAAGUUACACACAGAUCUUCAACUGCAUGAGCAAUCAAUGUCCCUAACGCCCAUGGUGUUCAAGAGUCAACUGUAUUAUCUUACCACUGCUUUAAUAUUUUCAGUGGUCAUUCACCAACGAUAAUACAAAAGCAGUUUUGAACCACAUAUAGACAUCAGUCUUUUACUAAUUUUGGCCAGGGUAAGACCUGGCAGUGGUACUCAGGAAUCAGUUACUAUUGAACCAGUUUAAUUCCUCUCGGUUUUUCAUUACAGAGACGCACAAUUAGUACCUCUUUCAAAGAGCAGAGAUAUUUAUUAUUAAAAUACCAAUAAAAAAGAAUUAGACAGCUUUGGUUAAUUUAGAAUAACUAUAACUAUAUUAUGGUUAUUGCUAUCCCAGUCUCUGUCAUUAUCCUAUAUAUCCAAGAUAUUGGGUAAGUAAAGUGAAAAGUUCUUGUUUUCAUAUGCUGACAAGACAUUCUAGUAUUGCUAUGUCCAAAUACAAGCUUUAUAUAAUACAGCAUUGGUGGAUGCUUGCAAUUAUUGAAACCUAAGUAGACUUUUGUCUGCUUUUUAAAUAAGAGGUAGUAAGUAAAAAAAGAGAUUCGGACACGAAUAAUUUUGAAGUAUUUGGCUCAAAUCCAGAACACUGUCAAGAAAAUCUCAGCGAAAAACUAUUCAUGAUUACUGAUAAGUAACAUCCCUAUUAUUAUCAGAUGUUGUUGAAAAUGCUUAACUGAGUACUUAGUUCCUGCUUAUUGUUAAAAUACAAUGUUAUAGUACCUCAUAUUACAAAUAACAGAUUUUAAUUUCACCCCGAUAAUGUCAUCCAGAUUUAUAACUUUAAAUACUACCCUUAGUAACUGAUGAAUCCCCAAUUUGUGUUUCCAGCCCUAACCUAUUCCCUAUAUUCCAGGUUCGUAUCUACCUAUCAGCAUCAUACCAUGGAUGUCUUAACAGGCAUCUCAAACUUACUAUGUCUAAAACAAAAUUUGACUUUUCUUCCCCAAACUUGCCCUACCACAAAUCUUCUCUAUUUUCGGUAAAGGAACCUCAGAGAUGCUCAAGCCAAAAAGCUGAAAAUCACUCAUAAAUCCUUAGUCCCACAUAUCUACUAAAUUCUAAUCUCCACAUAGCAACUAUGGCAGUAUUUUAAGAUUGCUCAUUCCAUUCCCUACUGAAAACAUUCCAACAGUUUUUAUUAUAUUUAAGAUUCAGCCCAGAUUACUUAUCUGGGCCCUUAUCUCCUCUGACCCCUUCCACUGCUUUCUUGCUUGAGCACCUCACUGCAGCCAUACUGUUACCUUACUUUUCUUCCAGGACCCUGAUACAUCCUCUUUCCCCUCCCUGGAACAUUGUUCCUUCAGCUCUUUACAUGGUUCCCUCUAGCUCUUCAUUCAGGUCAUGGCUCAAAUGUUACCACCUCUAAGCGGCCUCUCCUCACUAAAUUUACUCCCUAUCUAUCCCCUAACACCUGCUACAUUUUAUUGUGUAGCCUUUUUAUCACUCACAUAUUACACUAGUCAUCUGUCUCCAUCACUAGAAGAUAUAUGAGAACUUUAUCUUGUUCAUAAUUGUAUUCAUAACCUAAAAUAAUGCCUGACACACAGCAGGCACUCAAAAAAAUUUGUGAAAAAAAUUACUGUUGAGUAUUUAAUGUAAUGUGACAUAACAAAGUAGACAAAGCAGGUAUCAAUUUGUGUGGCAGGAGAGUAAUACUAGAUUAAUAUGAACCAUAGAUCCCACAGUUCACAAGAAGCAAAGCAGAAGAUUCUAAACGCCAAAGUGGCCGGGCGUGGUGGCUCAAGCCUGUAAUCCCAGCACUUUGGGAGGCCAAGGCAGGCAGAUCACUUGAGGUCAGGAGUUCGAGACCACCCUGGCCAACAUGGUAAAACCCCGUCUCUACUAAAAAUACAAAAAUUAGCUGGGCAUGGUGGUGGCACGUUCUUAUAGUCCCAGCUGCUCGGGAGACUGAGGCAGGAGAAUCGCUUGAGCCUGGGAGGCAGAAGUUGCAGUGAGUCGAGAUCACACCACUGCACUAUAGCCUAAGUGACAGAGCAAGACUCCAUCUCGGGUGAGGGGAGGAGUGGGGGGGAGGAAGCCCAACACCAAAGUUAUGACUAUAGAAUUCAAAACAUCUAAUCAGAAGAGAGGGGCCAUCUAAAGAACCCAAGUGGAUUUCACAAGGAAAUCUGCACUUGAGAUAUUCUUUAGAGUACCCAAAAGGUGAAAGAAGUUAUGGGCUGAAGUACAAACCUAAGAAUAGCAUGAAUUUAUUUUAAAAUACCUGAAUCCUAAAAAGCAGAUGAAGCUUGUGGAAAAUAUUAUGAAAUUUGUACUUUUUGGGGGGACAGUGUCUAUUUAAAGCAAGAAUAAGUAAGGGAUAGGAGCACUAGCUAAGAAAGAUACUGUAAUGAUAGAUGACUAAAGGUUUUACUUCAGUUGCCUCCAUAAAGGAGAAUGAUUUUUCACCAGGGAAAUGAUUUACCUCCUAAAAAAAGGGGUAUACCCAAGAAAGUGAGGAAUUAGGAAGAAAAUGCCAACACUCUUUAAGCAAAUUCAAUUCUAUAGGCUCAGGUUGUUAAGAACAGUAUACGUUUCUUAGAAAAGAAAGUAAUGGUCAACAGGGGCCAGCUAGCAUUUACUAAACUUAAGUUAUCCUGAACUGACCUCAUUUUCUCAUUAAGUAGGGUAUUAUUAGUAGUUUUAGAGAGCAAACUCUAGAACCACUCAUACCCUCUUAGUAAUUCUACUUCAGGGAAUUGUUAUUUAUAAUAAAGCUUAAGAAAAAUAUUUUAAAACGGGAGUAAGAGCACAUCACAGCUGUUUUAAAACAUUAGAAUACCGUAUGGACAUCAAAAACUCCAAAUGUGCUGAGGGAAGAAAAAAUUUAUAUACAUAAACAAAAAAUUUGAGGGAUUAUGACUAAAACCAUGAGAACAUUUGCUAGUAUUAAGAGAGAAUUUUGAGUGAUUGAACACAUACAUGGAAUAAGGGUUUGUUUAAAAGUGAAAAUCCAAGUUCAUAACUGAAAGGAAAGUAAUUAAUGUAACACAGGUAUGGGACGGGAGCAACCUGGAUAAAUAGUGAACAGAAAAAGAUCUAGGUAUUAUGAAGUGCAGUUAAUUGUGUAAUGUCUCUGAAGUAGGAGUUGAUAUAAUUAGGCACAAUUAUUACAAGCAUAAUGUCUGGAACAAAGGAGGCAGUCCCACAAUGCUCUGUGCUGCUCAGUAUGUAUCUCAAAAUACCAUGAUUAGGCCGGGCACAGUGGCUCAUGCCUGUAAUCCCAGCACUUUGGGAGUCUGAAGCGGGCAGAUCACGAGGUCAGGAGAUCGGAGACCAUCCUGGCUAAUACAGUGAAACCCCGUCACUACUAAAAAUACAAAAAAUUAGCCGGGCGUGGUGGCUGGCACCUGUAAUCCCAGCUACUCGGGAGGCUGAGACAGGGGAAUCACUUCUACCUGGGAGGUGGAGCUUGCACUGAGCUGAGAUUGUGCCACUGCGCCACUGUACUCCAGACUGGGUGACGGAGUGAGACUCCGUCUCAAAAUAUAAAUAAAUAAAAAAGACAAAAAACCAUGAUUAGUUUAAGCAUCACAUUAAAGCAUUAAAUAGUCACUAGCCAACUAGAAAACCCACAGAGGGAGACCAAAGCUAUGUCAUAUGAGAAAAACAAUGAAACAAUUGUGGAUAUUCCAUCUGAGAAAAAGAUAAGGGGAAGACAGGGUAGCUAUUUCAAGUAAUUGAAGAGCUGUCAUUUGGAAGAGGUACUAAAAUUAUCUUUUGUUGAUUCAAAGGGCAGAAUUGGAUUUUUAGGUAGAAAUUAGAGGGAGAUGGUCUUUGGGUCAAUCUUCUAUCAGUAUGAACUUUUAAAUAAUGGAAUAGAUUUCUAUUUGUAGUAAAAUUUCCUUCUCUAUAAAUAUUCAGGUAUCGGAUGAUUAUCAGACAGGGUUUUAGAAAAAAAAUUAUUCUUGCUCUAGAUGAGAUUCAUAUAGAUAAUACUAUCCAAAGCUCCUACCAAUUCCUAUGAACUUAAGGUAUAAAAUUUUUUAAAUCAAGUUUAUCUGAAAGAUUAAUUUAGGUGAGCCACUAAAACUUCCUAUAUAUAAAUAAAGCAUACCUUGGCCCUGGUUUUGGGAUUUUGCCAGCCUUGAGCUCAUCAAUAAUUUCUUCAAUAUCCUUAGCUGUCAAAUCCUCCUGGAAAAAAAAUUAACAAUAGUCAUAUUUAAAUUACUUUCUUUUAUAUCGAUAUAUUUAUAGAGACAAGGUCUCACUAUGUUGCCCAGGCUGGUCUCCAACUCCUGGGCUUAAGCAAUCCUCCUACCUCAGCCUCCCAAAGUGCUGGGAUUACAGGUAUGAACCACCACGCAUGGCACAAAAUUACUUUCUACGGCUGAAAUCUGUAAAUCCCUAAUGCCAGUGAUUUUAUUGUCUGUCUCAGCUCACAAGAUAGUUACCAAGGCAUCAACAAUUAAGUAACUCCUAUAUAUAGUACACACUGCUAAAUAUAAUAUGCAACAAGAGCCUGCAGCUGAAGAGGCAAUACAGAAUAUUGCUCUGAAUUGAAACAUAUUUGCAUUUGAGUUCUGGCUCUAUCACUUACUAGCUAGUAAUCUUGGACAAGUUACCCAGCCUCCCCAAGUUUGUUUGUUUAUUUGUAAACCUAAUUCAGCACGUUUUUGAGGAUUAAUGAGAAAAUAUAUAAAGUAGAACAGUGUCAACGUACAUACUAAAUAAAUGCUGUAUUACUGAAGAAACAGUAAGGUACAAAGUAGCUGUAGUAACUUGUUAAGUAGAUGCCUAGUAUCUAUCCCUAAAGAUCUAACUACUGCUAACUGAAAGAAUACCUAUCUCAAACAAACCCAUCUACAGGCUACUAUAUUUAGACUUAACAAUGCUUCACACAAAGCCUUGACUGUCUAAUUCCUAUUUAAAUCAAGAAAUAAGUACCCAGACGCCAAAUUCUCAAGGAAAACCAAAGAAAGAAAGUGGAACAUCAAGCAAACUUUGCUUCAGAGUUUCAAAGCUUAGAGGGGCAAGGGACCCAGCCAGCCCCAGAGAGUCUAACAAGAGACCAUGUAAGCUACACAAAGUUAAGGUCCCCAAAAGCUUUAACCUCAUUAUAAGAGUAAACUGUCCCUCAAAGAAAACUGCUAGUCUGGAACCUUUCACACCGGAGGAACAGAGGCCUAGGGUAUAAGGAGAGGGGCUUUUCUGGGGCCAGCAGUACUGCCAGGAGCAGGAGAGAAACAAAGCAAAUCCCUUCUUAAAAGAAAAUCUACCUUAAGUACAGUCCCUCCAAAAUUUCCAUAAACAAAUUUCUAAGAAAUAUGAGCUAACAAGGUAUCUUGAAUGAAAACGGUGAUAUAAUUAGGGUAGCAAGCAAUUUUUAAAGAAAUAACUAGAAAACGCCAUAUAUAUGGAUAUUAAGAACAUUUUUAGAAACUUACAGGUCAAAGAAAUCAAAAUGAAAAACAAAAAAAAAACAGAAACGCUCAAUCAAAAACAAAAAAGACUGCAAAACUUGUGAGAUCCAGCUGCAGUACUUAGAGGUAUGAUACCAUCUCUAUAAAAUUUUUUUAAAAAGCCAUACAACAUAUUAGUAUAGCUGCAUACAUAUAUAGACACAAUUUAUGAUAAUGGUUAUCUCUGGGGAUAAAAGGAAGAGAAAAAGAUUUGGGAUGGAGUAUUUCACCUGUAUCUGUAGCUUAUUUCUACAAAUGAUGAUGAUGAUGAUAGUAUCUGAAGUAAAAUGUGGCAAAAUAUUACUCUCAGUUAAGUCCUGAUAGUUGGCUACACUAGGAUUAUUUUCUGUAUUAAUAUCCAAAUUAUUAAAUUUUUCAUAAUCUAAAGUUUUAAAAUUUGUCUUCUGAAGUUAAAUGCAAAAAUGUUUAAAGAAUUUUUUAAAACCUGGAUAUUUAUGGUAACCAUUUCUUCUAAAUGAGUAAUUCAGAAACCAACAUCUAAGGACACAAAAUCAAAUAUUUAAAAUGUUUUAAAUAUGACAUCAUACAACUUUAACUUGUAUUACCUGAAAUACUCACAUAGUAAUUGUCAUUUAUUUGAACCAUUGGUGCGUUCACACAGGCCCCUAAACAUUCCACUUCUAUAAGAGUGAAAAGUUUGUCAGGUGUAGUCUCCCCAACCUUUAUUCCUAAAAAUACAAAUAAACACUCUAAGGACCAGGUUAUAUUUUAAUAGUCAUUUGGUUUAAAAAAAAAAAAAAGAAUUUUUAUAGAGGUAUAUUAAAAGUUUAAGACUAUUAAGUUUUUUAAAAAGAGGCCAGGCGCGGUGGCUCACGCCUGUAAUCCCAGCACUUUGGGAGGCUGGGGUGGGCAGAUCACGAGGUCAGGAGAUCUAGACCAUCCUGGCUAACAUGGUGAAACCCCGUCUCUACUAAAAAUACAAAAAAUUAGCCAGGUGUGGUGGCGGGCACCUGUAGUGCCACCUACUCGGGAGGCUGAGGCAGGAGAGUGGCGUGAACCCAGGAGGCGGAGCUUGCAGUGAGCCGAGAUUGCGCCACUGCACUCCAGCCUGGGCAACAGAGCAAGACUCCAUCUCCAAAAAAAAAAAAAAAAAAGUUUUUUAAAAAGAAAAAAAUCCUAGGCCAGGUGGAGUGGCUCCGUCCUAUAAUCCCAGCACCUUGGGAGGCCGUGGUGCGAGGAUGGCUUGAGCCCAGGAAUUUGAGACCAGUCUGGGCAACAUAGGGAGACACAGCUCUACAAAAAAAUUAAAAAUUUUUUUACAGUAGUAAAAAUUUUUUACAGUAGUCAUGAUUGUGCUACUGUACUCCAGCCUGGGUGACAGAGCAAGACUCUCUCAAAAAAAAAAAACAAAAAAAAAACUCUAUGUAAUUUUAACAUUCAAGGAAGUUUUUAGUGGACUUGUUCCUUUAAAAGCAAUCAAAUUUCAGAGGACUUAUCACCAGUGUUUACUGUUAUACAGCAGUGCAUCAGGCUGUAUUAUUUUCAUUUUGAUUGUAAUAAUUAAACUACUAAAAUCACAGUCACAUUAUCAGAUUUGGCAAAGACUCAGAAAACUCCUAACGUCAAAGAUUAUCAAGGGAUGUGAAGAAAAUGGGUAGUCUCAUACAUUUAGGGAAGGCAUUUGGGAAAAAUACGGUAAAGUCUGACCCUACAAUUCUACUUCUUGUAAACUAUCUCAGCAUACAACAGGACAAGUACGCAAAGAUGUGUGUGUACAUCAAAGUAACUGUUUGUAAAAGAAAAAUGAGGCAGGCCAAGCAUGGUGGCUCACACCUGUGAUCCCAGCACUUGGGAGGCCAAGGUAGGAGGAUUGCUUGAGGCCAGGAUUUCACAACCACCAGCCUGGGCAACAUAGCAAGACCCCUCUCUACAAAAACAAACAAAAAUCAAUUAGCUGGGCUUGGCAGCAUGCACCCAUAGCUACAGCUACUUGGAAGGGUGAGGCAGAAGAUCACUUGAGCCCAGGAAUUGGAGGCUGCAGUGAGCCAUGAUCCAGCCACUGCAUUCCAGCCUGGUGACAAAGUGAGACCUCAACUCAAAAAAACAGAAAAAAAAAAUGAGGCAGACAUAUAUAUUGUGCUGUAGAAAUACAGCCAAAAUAAAGUCUAAAAAGCAAGCAUACAUGUAGUACAUUUAUAUAUUUAAUAAUUAAAAUGAUAUAAAAUCUACAACUAAUAUAUCCAAUUGUUAUCAGGAUUUAUACCUUGAUGGUGUUGGGGGUGGGGGGGUUUGAGCCAACUUCAGCUGUUUUAUAUAUUUCAAUACCACCCAGCUAUUUUUACAACAUGCACAUAUUAUAUUCAAUAACAAAAUAUUACUUCAUUUGACAUAUAUAGUUAGAAGUGUAGCAAUGGCAGUUUUGUAGGGGAAAAUGCCCAUUUACUUUUAAAAUGCUAAUUUACUUUUCAAAUGCUACUGUAAUAACAUCUGUUUCAAAUUUCCCUUCCCAAAGCAUUCUUACUAUGCUUGUAUCUUAUUUGUUCCAUGACUUCUUUAGAAGAAUAUAAAGACAAUAAUGGGUCACUUUUUAAUAUACCACAUGCUGUCAUAGAAUAGUAAGUGAAACAAUUUUCUAAGUGAAACAAUCUUCUAAACAACGAAUAUUUUAUAACUUCUACAAGCAUUUCAAACAUACUGAUUAAAAAAGAAAAAAUUAAAAACUCAGCUUUAACACUAAGAACUGAGGAAGAAUACCAAAUAGGAAGAAAUAAAGAUGUGGAAACACAGUAACACAAAAUAUUACUAGGUAAGUACAGAUCCAAUAAGAUGGCAGAAGUUGGAAAUUUUAGAUAGAAAUGUACCAAAUCUAGAGAGACAAUUCUACUUUUUAUCAGUGUUACAAAUAUCAUGUAUUCCCUACCAAGCUUUUUCUGAAUGGCCUCCAGUAUGCUGUCAGAGUUUCGAAGCAUGCAGGGUGUAGUAGUGCAGACCUGAAUGUGAUACUUUCCAACUGGCUUUCGAUUAUACAUUGUAUAAAAAGUUGCUACUUCAUAUACUCUCAUUGGAGGUACUUGUAAAACUUCUGCAACCUAAAAUAUUAGGACAUUUAAAAAUAAGAUAAUUACAGUGUUAGUAAUGGAGCUUUAAUUAUGUUGUACAAAGUAUAAUUUCAAUAUUGUCUCAAUUUGGUAAAAACAGAAAAGUUCUUCAAGAGCAGAAAACAUACUUGUCUUGGAUAACUGGGAGAUAUAAACUCUUCAAUUUUUGCAGACAAUGUACUUACACUUAAACCAUACAGAGCCCGAAAGUUAAUGGAGUUAACAGCACUUCCUCCUUCUACCCUACUUCUCACCUCUGUAAAAGGAUAUUCUUUUUCUCUAAAUCUUUAAGUAUUUCACUAUUAAGAAUUUCUACUUUGAUCAUGUCAACUCACAUUUUAUAAUCUGUCUAAAUGGCAAAAAAUUGAUGGCCAAACCCCAAUAAAAGAAGCAAUUAGAUUUUUUAAACUCUCACCAAUUUUUUCCAAACAGCCUACAUACAAAUGGUACAGCAACAGAAAAAAAGGUUGAAAAUCAAAGCUCACUAUUGGCCCAUAUUUUAAAUAUGUAAACUCAAAAUUUUAUAUCUCUACAUAUAUGUAUACACAUAUUAUCAUACACAAUCACACACUCCUCUCCCAGAAUCCAGCACACUACUUCUAUUUCAUAUCACAAUACUCUUUUGAAAGUUGAAUCAUAUAGUCUAGUACUUUCUAACCCUUCACGUCAAGACAUUAAUAGAAAACAAUUGUUUUGACAUUCUGGUGUUCAGGACUAAGGGGAUCACUAACUCAGCAUCUUUUCUUAGGGCAAGUCUGUUAGGGAAAACGAGGAUUUCUAGCUGUUUGCCAGGGCUGGUCCUUGUCUAUCGUGAUUUAUAAUUCUGUCUACAACUUUCUAGGUGACCUAUUAUCAUUAAGACUUACUAUCUGGCAUUCUUAAAAAUUAUAGAUAUAUCCAUAUUCUAAUAUAAAAGAAGAGCGGGCAUUUCAGACAAGUAUGUUAACUUUCUCAUAUUAGGAAUUCUAAAGGAAAUAUAUUCUCAAAAGACAUCUAAUCAUGGCUCACUUGUGACAGAUAAAGUAAUUGUGCUAUUUCAUUCGGCAGUUCUGAAUCAAGGACGUAUCCCUGAAUCUGGGGAGCUCUCUAUCAAAAUAUACAUGCUGGAACCCUACCAAAGGAAUAAUAAAUCUGGAAUGAGGCUCUGACUGUCUAAUUAGGAAAAGACUCCUUCCUGGAAUUCUGCACAUCUCCCUACACCUUAGUGACGGUUAAAUAAAUAAUUAUUAAGCUUCUGGAUAUUUUUUGUUGUAAGGUUAGGUGUUUCAUGGGUUGGGGGGAGGGGCAGUAACAUUAAAAUAAAAGUCCCAAAUGUAAAGUGCAAAGAAUCUUGAGUCUAUUCCCUAUACCCUACACUUCCUGCCUUUCCCCCACACAAAUCCAACCCUAAAUAUAAUAGGACAAUAUAUAAAUACAUAUUUUUUAAGAGAUAGGGUCUCACCAUCUUGCCCAGGCUGGUCUUAAGCUCAAGCAAUCCUCCCACAUCAACAUCCUGAGUACCUGGGUCUACAGGCAUGCACCACCAUGCCUGUCUUAUUUUUUAAAUGUUUUCACUUUCAGUUUCUUAUUUAUUUUUAUUUUGCUCUGCUAACGUGCCACUCAGCAAGAUUUCCAACAGGCUUACCAUUACUAAAAAUAUGAUUUUUUCAAAAUAAUAACAUUAUAAUUAGAAACAUAUACCUAAAUCAUUAUAAAGUUGGCUAUUUUAAUUUAAAAAAAUGUUAAGUAACUUCCCAAGAAAUACAUAAUUUAUCGAAGAAAUAACCACCUAUGUUUACUCAGGAUAGUAACUCACUAAACUUGCUUUAUAAUAUUUUUCAUAGGGAAAAACCAGUGUUAUAGUACUAUACAAUGCAAAUAAAAUAAAAUAUCAAUAAACUAAAUCUAAAAUUUGCAUUUAGGAUUCUAUUAGAUAAAUUGAGGACAUUCCUAUUCUCUCAGAAAGAUGAUUGUCUAGCCUAAGAGUUAUAACCAAAUUAAGUUUAGAAAGUGGUAAGAAUGAAGUACAACAAAAUCUCUGUUAUAGUCAGUCAAGUAGAAAAUGCACUGAUUUAGAAAUGAAUUCAGUCCUAGCACUACCGCUCAGAAAUCAUAACUUAAUAAUUAGAAGAGGUCUACCUGGUUCAAAACUUUCAUUGCCAAUGAGGAAGUUCAGAGAAAAAUCAGGUGUCUUAGUUCUAAGUCAAAAAUAUUUUCCAUUAUAUAACACAGCUUAAUGGUUAUGUGAUUCUCAUCAGAAUCAAAUAGUAUGUGGUUUGUGUAUGGCACUUUAUAAAUGAUAUGCUGUAAUACAUCACCACACAAAUGUAGUUAUUUGUAUUAACAGGAUACGAAUAAACUUGAAAUUUGUAUUACUGCUCAAAACUAUUAGGAAAAAUGAAUAUUAUAUGAAUAGAGUAACUUUGAAUAAAAUGGGUCAUCCAUAGCAUUUCUAUAGGUCGUUGAUUCCAAAGUAGCAUAAUCAAAUUGUAUAAAUAUCACCUAUUAUACAGAUUUUUCUUACAGCCUACAGCCAAAGAUGUAAAAUAUUAAAAAUUUUCAUACUAGUGAGCAGAUCUUCUUUUCUGUAAUUCUAGUGUUUAAAUAUUACAUUAAUUUUCAGAAUAUCUUGACACUAAGUUAUACACAUUUGGAAUCUUUUAUCUUUGACCAUUUCCUUCAAAAGGAAAAAAAAAAACACAUACCCUCUUUCACCAUAAUGCCUUCCUUAUUUCCUGCAAGGUUAGAAAUCACCUCUAUGCAUUAAGGGAAUGAACAAAAACACAAAGACAAUUCAAGGAAACAUACAAAUGGCUAAAGGGCUCCAAAAUCCUAGAUUCUGACACUGGAGAUGAUCAGAGUAAUUUCUAUAAAAGGAAAUUAUCAUACACAAUCUCUUCUCUUUUAGAACUAAGGCAAAAAUGAAUCCAGUACCUUGUUCAUAGCAGAGAUGGGCAACCACCCAUUCUGCCUUUGGGCUAAAUCCAGGACUGGAAGAACAGCUGCUGCUUUAUGGCCUUCUGGAUAGUUUUUUACAAUUGCCUCUAUCCUCUGUAUAAAAGAAAGAACAUCAUUUUAUACAUCUAGAAAAUAUUACCUAUUUGGUAAAUUAAUUAUAAUGUUAAUUUAGCCAUACCUUAUAGUUUUCUGGUGUGAAAUCAAAUGGAGUAUCAGGGUUAUUCUCAGGAGUAUCUCUGUGCUACACAACAAAAACAGUUUUUCAGACUUAUCCAAAUUCUCUCAAGUGUGAAUGACACUGUACAUUACUAUACUAUUACUUAUUGUUUAAUCUCUCCAUUUUAAUUCCAACAUGAUAUAUACCACCCUAUCCUUCCAUCAAAAAGAAUGUCUAAACACACAUUUGAUAAGUAUGAUUACCAAAGUAAAGUUAGCAGAAUUUAAAAAUUUACAAAGGACCAUUUAAAGAAUAAGAGAAGUACCUUUAGGACCAAAAAAACCCAAACAACAAA